CUUAUGCCUGUCAGCUAGAUUUAUUAAUUUUUAACGAGGUGUAUUACUUUUAAAAGCUAUCUAUUUACUAUUGGGGGAGGGAGAAGGACAAAGGACAUCUUGCAGAACUGACCCGGCAAGAAAAAACUUAUUAAGGAAAACCUCUUACCUCAGUAGUUCUAAACCCUGAUUCUGUGCAAUAAACACCUGGGGCACCUGAAACAGUUAGUUCCUGGCACUGCUUUAACGUACUACGCUACCUACCAGGGAGUUUGGCCUAGUAUGGCCAGGAUGCAGAAAUCCUCAGAGAUUCUAGUGUGCAACUGAGAAAAUGGGUAGUUUUCCUCCUCCUCCUCCUCUUCCUCCUCUUCCUCCUCUUCCUCCUCUUCCUCUUCCUCUUCCUCUUCCUCUUCUUCUUCUUCUUCUUCUUCUUCUUCUUCUUCUUCUUCUUCUUCUUCUUCUUCUUCUUUCUCUUUCCUUCUCUUCUUCUUCCCUCUCCUCCUUCCUCUCUACCUCCCCAUCUU
ensembl:lincRNA Platr4 pluripotency associated transcript 4